rnacentral:rRNA from 1 species
UCGAGAAUCUUCGGCAAUGGGCGCAAGCCUGACCGAGCGACGCCGCGUGCGGGAUGAAGGCCCUUGGGUUGUAAACCGCUGUCAGAGGGGAUGAAAUGCGGGUGGGUUCUCCCAUCCGUUUGACAUAGCCUCAGAGGAAGCACGGGCUAAGUUCGUGCCAGCAGCCGCGGUAAUACGAACUGUGCAAACGUUAUUCGGAAUCACUGGGCUUAAAGGGUGCGUAGGCGGCCAAAUAAGUAGGGUGUGAAAGCCUCCGGCUUAACCGGAGAAUGGCGCUCUAAACUGUUUGGCUGGAGUGAGAUAGGGGUGUGUGGAACUUCCGGUGGAGCGGUGAAAUGUGUUGAUAUCGGAAGGAACGCCGGUGGCGAAAGCGACACACUGGAUCUCAACUGACGCUGAG